GACAAACGCUGGCGGCGUGCAUAAAACAUGCAAGUCGGACGAGCCAAUCCCCGCAAGGGGAAAGGCUAGUGGCGAACGGCUGAGUAACACGUAGGUGAUCUGCCCUGAAGUGGGGGAUAACGACUCGAAAGAGUCGCUAAUACCGCAUGUGACCACCGAUCCGUUUUCGGUGCUCAAAGUCGUAAGACGCUUUAGGAGGAGCCUGCGGCGGAUUAGCUAGUUGGUGAGGUAAGGCCCACCAAGGCUUCGAUCCGUAGCUGGUCUGAGAGGAUGGCCAGCCAGACUGGGACUGAGACACGGCCCAGACUCCUACGGGAGGCAGCAGUUAGGAAUUUUGCGCAAUGGGGGAAACCCUGACGCAGCCACGCCGCGUGCGGGAUGAAGGCCUGG
rnacentral:rRNA from 1 species